rnacentral:rRNA from 1 species
UACGUAGGGUGCGAGCGUUAAUCGGAAUUACUGGGCGUAAAGCGCGCGCAGGCGGUUUUGUAAGCCAGAUGUGAAAGCCCCGGGCUUAACCUGGGAAUGGCAUUUGGGACUGCAAGGCUUGAGUGCGGCAGAGGAGACUGGAAUUCCUGGUGUAGCAGUGAAAUGCGUAGAUAUCAGGAGGAAUACCGAUGGCGAAGGCAGGUCUCUGGGCUGACACUGACGCUCAUGCACGAAAGCGUGGGGAGCAAACAGG